rnacentral:rRNA from 1 species
UACAGAGGUCUCAAGCGUUGUUCGGAUUCAUUGGGCGUAAAGGGUGCGUAGGCGGCGCGGUAAGUCGGAUGUGAAAUCUCGGAGCUUAACUUCGAAACUGCAUUCGAUACUGCCGUGCUUGAGGACUGGAGAGGAGACUGGAAUUUACGGUGUAGCGGUGAAAUGCGUAGAUAUCGUAAGGAAGACCAGUGGCGAAGGCGGGUUGCUGGGCUGACACUGACGCUGAGGCGCGAAAGCCAGGGGAGCGAACGGG